GGGCCGUUAGCUCAGGUGGUAGAGCACCGGACUUUUAAUCCGGGUGUCGCAGGUUCGAGUCCUGCAUGGCUCACCA
rnacentral:tRNA from 1 species